rnacentral:tRNA from 1 species
CGGGACGUAGCGCAGCUUGGUAGCGCAUCUGCUUUGGGAGCAGGGUGUCGCAGGUUCAAGUCCUGCCGUCCCGA